UAUACCGGAUAGGACCACGGGAUGCAUGUCUUGUGGUGGAAAGCGCUUUAGCGGUGUGGGAUGAGCCCGCGGCCUAUCAGCUUGUUGGUGGGGUGACGGCCUACCAAGGCGACGACGGGUAGCCGGCCUGAGAGGGUGUCCGGCCACACUGGGACUGAGAUACGGCCCAGACUCCUACGGGAGGCAGCAGUGGGGAAUAUUGCACAAUGGGCGCAAGCCUGAUGCAGCGACGCCGCGUGGGGGAUGACGGCCUUCGGGUUGUAAACCUCUUUCACCAUCGACGAAGGUCCGGGUUCUCUCGGAUUGACGGUAGGUGGAGAAGAAGCACCGGCCAACUACGUGCCAGCAGCCGCGGUAAUACGUAGGGUGCGAGCGUUGUCCGGAAUUACUGGGCGUAAAGAGCUCGUAGGUGGUUUGUCGCGUUGUUCGUGAAAUCUCACGGCUUAACUGUGAGCGUGCGGGCGAUACGGGCAGACUAGAGUACUGCAGGGAAAAAAAGUGAGAAAA
rnacentral:rRNA from 1 species